rnacentral:rRNA from 1 species
AGCAGCCGCGGUAAUUCCAGCUCCAAUAGCGUAUAUUAAAGUUGCUGCAGUUAAAAAGCUCGUAGUUGAAUUUCGGGACUAAUAUGUCGGUCGUGCCUCGGUACGUACUGGCUUAUUGGUUUCUCCUUUCUGAAGAACCAUGAUGUCAUUUAUUUGGUGUCGUGGGGAAUCAGGACUGUUACUUUGAAAAAAUUAGAGUGUUUAAAGCAGGCUCACGCUUGAAUACAUUAGCAUGGAAUAAUGAAAUAGGACGUUUGAUUCUAUUUUGUUGGUUUCUAGGAUCGACGUAAUGAUUAAUAGGGAUAGUUGGGGGCAUUAGUAUUCAAUUGUCAGAGGUGAAAUUCUUGGAUUUAUUGAAGACUAACUACUGCGAAAGCAUUUGCCAAGGAUGUUUUCAUUAAUCAAGAACGAAAGUUAGGGGAUCGAAGACGAUCAGAUACCGUCGUAGUCUUAACCAUAAACUAUGCCGACUAGGGAUCGGAUGAUGUUAAUUUUUAAUGUACUCAUUCGGCGCCUUAAC